UACGUAGGGGGCAAGCGUUGUCCGGAAUCAUUGGCGUAAAGCGCGUGUAGGCGGUUCGGUAAGUCUGCUGUGAAAGUCCAGGGCUCAACCCUGGGAUGCCGGUGGAUACUGUCGGACUAGAGUACGGAAGAGGAGAGUGGAAUUCCCGGUGUAGCGGUGAAAUGGCGCAGAUAUCGGGAAGAACACCUAUGGCGAAGGCAGCUCUCUGGGCCGAUACUGACGCUGAGGACGAAGCGUGGGAGCGAACAGGAUAGAAACCCCU
rnacentral:rRNA from 1 species